UUUCAGUUCUUGUUGGUCUACUUUCCUUUUUCCUGGGUGAUUGGGUGUUCAUUGUGUUUUUGAAAGUCAUGUCAAGUUUCUAGUAUAGGUUUGAGUCAUACUUUGUCACUGAGUAUUUUUGGUAUAUACUUUAAGUUGUUAUUGGACCUAAAGCUUUUUGUACCGCUAGCUUGCUUCCCUGCAUUUGGGUCCUCCAAAUCUUACCAUGCCUUCCUUGCCCUUCACUAACCGCGACCAUAAAAUGUCGUCUGCCUUUUGCUUCAAUCAGCGAGGAUAGGCUCCAGGGAGCCGUGAACCUAACCAGGAUAAAGCUGUUCAAUGGAUGAAUGGAUGGACCUUAGAGGCAGAUGUGGAAACCAUUCAGCUGCUGUACCAUCCAGAUGCAGUUAUUUUAUUUGUCCAAGGUUUUCAAUUACUCACACAAAUGCAGCACAUGGACACAAUGGCGAAGGAUCCGAGGAUUCCUGCUGUUCCGACAAUCCAGUUGUAUUGUUCCUGUUGCCAUCUGCAUCAUUCACUGGGACCACAGUGAAGUUGGUGGGCAUCUUGACCCCAGAGCUGCCUGUGGAAUGUGUGGAUUUUCGUUAUGGAAACCUGAAGGAAUAAGAGAGUCCACACAUCCAGAGAGAAUCUCUCCACCUGCUUCCUCGCCUGCUGAAGGCCUCGCCACCUGUUUCCUUGCCUUCAUAUCUAUAUGCCCAUGGAUUCCCUUGUUGAGCAAAGUCUCUGCACCCACGAUUCAACUACCUCUACCUGGUUGACACGUCCUUUCCUUUUCUGCCUGUUGCUUGUAAAUAAAUGCUGAAUACAUUUA